UAAGGGAUAUUGCGCAAUGGAGGAAACUCUGACGCAGCCAUGCCGCGUGAGUGAUGAAGGCCCUCGGGUUGUAAAACUCUUUCAGUGGUGAAGAUGAUGACGGUAACCACAGAAGAAGCUCCGGCUAACUUCGUGCCAGCAGCCGCGGUAAUACGAAGGGGGCGAGCGUUGUUCGGAAUCACUGGGCUUAAAGCGUAUGUAGGCGGAUAAGGAAGUCAGAAGUGAAAUCCCGGGGCUCAACCCCGGAACUGCUUUUGAAACUCCUUGUCUGGAGUCCCGGAGAGGUUGGCGGAAUUCCGAGUGUAGAGGUGAAAUUCGCAGAUAUUCGGAGGAACACCAGUGGCGUAGGCGGCCAACUGGACGGGUACUGACGCUGAGAUACGAAAGCGUGGGGAGCAAACAGGAUUAGAUACCCCCGUAGUCC
rnacentral:rRNA from 1 species